rnacentral:rRNA from 1 species
AUACGAAGGGGGCUAGCGUUGUUCGGAAUUACUGGGCGUAAAGCGCACGUAGGCGGAUAUUUAAGUCAGGGGUGAAAUCCCAGAGCUCAACUCUGGAACUGCCUUUGAUACUGGGUAUCUUGAGUAUGAAAGAGGUAAGUGGAAUUCCGAGUGUAGAGGUGAAAUUCGUAGAUAUUCGGAGGAACACCAGUGGCGAAGGCGGCUUACUGGUCCAUUACUGACGCUGAGGUGCGAAAGCGUGGGGAGCAAACAGCAUUAGAAACCCCAGUAGUCC